rnacentral:tRNA from 1 species
UCUCGCGUAACUCAAUUGGAAGAGUGUCAGACUGUUAAUCUGGAAGUACUGGGAUCGAAACCCAGCGCGAGAGACCA